rnacentral:rRNA from 1 species
AUGGUUCUGAACACUACUUCAGAAAGACACAUAAAAAACAAAAAUAGCACACACACAAGCCAAAAUCUGAACAAAUCGUCAUGGAGCCAUUCAAAUGCAAAAAUCAAAAACUACUUUGUCUAUGAACUUGACCAGACCUACUUUGUUCAUUGUCACGGCACUCGUGUAUUACGUUGCACAGGAGGGACAAAAAUGGUCAUGGAGCCAUUCAAAAUCCAAAAUCAUCAGGUUUGGGAUGGAUUUUCAGCAGGCACACUUUCAAAAUCAAAAAUUGUGCUUGAACGCUUUGCGCUUGCCCCCAAUCCCCCACAAAAGCAAAAACAAUGUGUUGAAAACUGA